AAUUAGGUAUACAUGUAUGGUGAAAAAUUCCCACAGUUAAAUAUGGUGAGAAAUGUUUGUGAUAUAGCAAUAAAAAUGGGGAAUUUAAUUUGCUUGAAAUGGGACGAGCUAUCGAUCGGCGUUACGUAAUAUGUAUGUAAAUAUAUACGUGAUAUGAGGAGAAAAGGGGGAGUGUUUCAUCAAGCGUGGUCGAACUUCUGAACGAGGUCGUCGUAGAUGUCGAGGUCGACCUGUUGCUGACAAUGGAUAAUUAACGAACUAUAGAUCUCUCUUUAAAAAGCAACACACCAAAGUGUUUAAUAAUAUUUAUAUAUAAUAUUCGUAUUAGCAAUGGUCUUUAUUAUUAGUUCAUUUAAAUAAUCUUCACAAAAGUAAUUUUAAGAAAAACCCCCGAUAAGGCUAAACAACAAUUAGAAAAAUAAUCAAAAAAAUUGUUGGAUAUACAGUCGAAACGUGACAACGAAUCAGUCCCUUAGAUUAACAAAAAAUGGGAGGAAAAAUAAAAUAAUGUCUCGUAACCAUGGAUUCUCCAUGGUUUAGAGUAGUACCACAGUAGUCUGCGGUUUACCAUGACCGAUAACACACAGUCCAAGCCGACGUUUUUCGGUUGUACGUGAGAUUAGGUUAUUAUUGGUGUACGCUUAUAUACACGUACAUAUUAUAGAAAUAUAUAUACUAUGUAUAAAUGUAUAUACACAUUAUGUAUAUAUAUAUACAUAACAGCUCAAGCCAAUACCACUGCGUGUCCUGACAAUCUGGCAAUCUGGCAACCCUGCAAGAGCAGAAACAGCAGCAGCAGAGCGGCCAACAGUGUGUUGGGGUUGAAUUUCAAACGCUCGAGGGACAGAGGGGGUCCGGCCUCUCUCUUUUGUAUAAGGGGCACGAGGGCUCCGUUCGACGAUGCUCUCUACGGCAUAACGGUGAGUCUCGGCGGCCAUAUUGAGAGGCUUAUGGCCGUCUGCCCGGUUCGGCCUGCUCGGUAAGCAGCAGCAGCAGUAACAGCAACAGCAACACUAGUAGUAUCGGCUCGAGAGGAAAACCAAGUUCCCGUCCCCUCUUCCUAUCCCCUAUCCUUACCUUCUCUUCCUUUACGUGCCCUCCUUUGGCCUUUCCUUUUCCUGCAGGUAAUUUUUUUCGAAACUUCGAAAUCGGGUAUUCUCUGAUAAUUCUCUAUUCUACUCUUUUAAGGACGCUUAAUGUCUUUAAAAUAGAAUUGGACAGUGUUGUUCU
rnacentral:lncRNA from 1 species